rnacentral:piRNA from 1 species
UAGGAGCGAACUAGAAAAUACGACUGUUGU